UCCCACUUAUUAUAAUCGAUAUUAUAUAAAAGUUUCAAUUUUAUGAUGCGCACUGUCGUGGUGGGGA
rnacentral:tRNA from 1 species